ensembl:lncRNA
CCUUUAUAUGGCUACUAUAACAGAAAAAAAUUAAAUAUAAUGUGUAGGUAAUCUUAUUAAUGAGUAUUAUGAUGAAUUAUAUGUAGAUUUCCAAUUAAAAUUCAUAAAUAAUUUGAAAAUGAACUAGACAUCUUUGUCAGCAGUGAUUUGAUUCUGUGCAAAAUCAUAUUUGAAUGAUUUUAGAUUGUGUUUUAAGUCUUUGAAACUUUGACAUCUGAGUUCCCUGAUGGCUCAGUUAGUUAAAGAUCUGGUGCUGUCACUGCUGUGGUUCAGGUCAGUGCUGUGGCACAGGUUUGAUCCCUAGCCCAGGAACAACUUCUAUAUGUCUUAAGUGUGGCCAAAAAAACACACAAAAAACCAAACUUGGUGAGAUGACCCAAAGGAGUAGAUUAAUUUAUUUUGUAUAUCUGUUAUCUUUGUAGAAUUUCUCUUUAGUUUGAAUAUUUAUAGUCCUGUUUUAGGUAGGCUGAUAUUCAAAUAAAUCAGUGUUUCUGAUAAUUGUGCAGAUGACAAAUGGCAGCAGAAGCCAAUUUAGGAUUGAAGAAAAUUAUUGUGGUUGCUUUGCCAAUUAUACGAUCCAAAUGUGGAAAACCGAGAGAAGGUUCAAAACGUGAUGAUUCAGGAAGGUAAAUGAUCCUUUUAGACUGGUGUUUUACUGACUAGCCAGUGUUGAAGUGUUAAACAAUUCUGUAGAAUAAUUUGAGUUCUAUCCAGAAGAUACGAGUAGAUUCUUAACAUAGCUUUCAGUUCUGUUUGGUUCUUUUUGUAUUAUAUGUGAAUAUGAAUUUUGUACUAUAAUAUUAAACGACUAUGUACCAUUGUUGUUUAUACAACUUUAUCUGUCAAAAGCUCUUUAUUCUCCAUGUCUGUCACAAAGUAACAUUAUCUAUUUCCAAUGGGGAUUUUUACACCUAGUGUGAACUUUGUUUAGAUUCACCAACAGAGAUCCUUGAUGUUUUGCUUUAGAGGUGUGGUCACUUUUUCAUUGUGGAAAAUGCUAUGAUCAUCACCUUAUUAAAGAAAAAAAGCCAGAAAUGGAUUCUGGCUACUGACAAAGUUGAUCGUAUGAAAGAACCUUUUACUGUAACUAGUUCAUACUUAAAAUCCUGGGACAAUUUCCUUUUCUUUUUGGAAUGAGAACAAAUUGAAUAUUGAAUAAUCUCUUCAGGCUGUAUCUUCAAUGUUUGACUAAUUUGCAGAAUAUGUCAUUUGCAUGUUAUAUUUACUAUUCCUUUAUGCCUUUGGAAGUUUUCAGCGACAGCUAAGGCUCACAGUCUUUACAACUGAGACUUACAAACCCUCCUUUUUUUUCCCCCAUAGUGUUGGUAAGAUGAAUGUCCAGCAUCUAUCUCAUUUAAUUUAGAGGUUUCUUAUGCCGGAAUUAGAUAAGGGAAGGAAUAUCAUUUUUAUAGUAAGAUAAAGAUUUUUAACCUAAUUUUUAAAAAAAUGUUCAUUUAAAAAUAAUUAUAUAAUUGUGAGUAUUGACAUAUUUUUGUUCAGUCUUAAGAUCCUGAACUAAUUCAAGAGGAGCCUUUUAGAGAGUUACUUUAUUCCCAUUUCCCAUUGGUUAAGAGAUAGUAGAACCAAAUUAAAUCUAUGGAGCAGAAUCUCCUAUAUCUUUUUGUAGAUUAAAAGACACUCAAGAUUUUUAUUAUAACACAGUGUGUUGGAAUUAACUGAUUUUUAUGUUGAACUGUGCUUUCUUACCUAAUGGAAAUUUAGUUUAUUUUUGGUGAAUUACAAACAAUAUUCAAGUACAUCUUUUAGUUUCCAUAUAAAAGAAAAAUUCCUUACGUGAUAUCCAUAGGAAAUACAUACAACUAAGAAAAUUAUUUUCUGUGCUUAUAAAUGUUUAUUUUUUUUAAAAAAAUGAAAUCACUGUAUAUGUUUUGUAGUCUAAAUCUUUAAGUUUAUUGAUGUUUAAUUGGCGUGAAAUACACUGCUUAUAUGUAAAGUGUAUAAUCUGAUAACUUGGGACAUAUUUGCACACCCGCAAAACUGUCAAGAGAUGAACAUACCAGUCACCUCCAGAAGCUUCUAGAAACUCUCUCUCUUUUUUUUUUUUAGGGCUGCACCUGCGGCAUAUGGAGGUUCCCAGACUAGGGGUCUAAUCGGAGCCAUAGUUGCCAGCCUAUGCCACAGUCACAGCAACACCAGAUCCGAGCCGCAUCUGUUACUAACACUACAGCUCACCUAUGUCCUCAUGGAUCCUAGUCAGAUUCAUUUUCACUGCACCACAUGGGAACUCCCCAGAAGCUCUUGUAGUGAAGCUUCCAAGGAACUCUUCCUUUCACUUCUCCCUCCUUAUCCCAAGCCCCACUGAUAUGCUUUUUUGUCACUAUAGAUUAGUUUGCAUUUGUUAGAAUUUUAUACAAAGAGAACUAUAUAGUAUACCCUUUUUUUUGGUCUGAGUUUUUUUCAGUCACCAUAAUUAUUUUGGGAUUCAUGCAUACUGUAGCUAACGGUAGUUCAUUCCCUUACAUUACUGAGUAGUAUUCCUUUGUGUAGAUAUAGCAUAGUUUGUUUCUUUACCUGUUGAUGGACAUUUUGGUUAUUUCCCAGUUUUGGCUGUUAAUUUACAAAGAAAGCUGCAGUGACCAUUCACGUAUAAGUCUUUGUGAGGACAGGUGCUCUCAUUUCUCUUGGUUAAGUACCUAGGAGUAAAAUGGCUGAAUUAUGUGGGAAGUACAUGCUCAACUUUUGAAGAAAUUGCCAAACAGUUUUCCUGCGUGGUUGUACCAUUGUGUAUUUCCAUUAGCAGUGUAUGAGAGUUUCGCUGCUAUACAUCCUUGUCCACACUUGGUAUGAUCAGGUUUUAAAUUUUGCCGUUCUAAUAGGUAUGUAGUAUCUUUUUUAAAAAUCAAGAUGAUGAGUUGUUAGAGUCUUCAAUAUGCAGUGUCCUGCUCAUGGUUUUUUAUUUUUUUUUUCUUUUUGAUGAGAGUGAAAUUCACUUAAAAAUUAACCAUGUU